rnacentral:lncRNA from 1 species
CUGGAGGAGCCCAGGAUCUGCAGAGAAGAAUUCAGGAAUGCUGAGUCAGGGCCUGAAGCAGUGAUGGAGCAGAUGUUGGGAAGGCAGGGCCAACCCAGGGGAGCUCAGGUGUAAGCAAUGCAUCUGAGUGACUGGAAGGGCUGCAGCCAGGAUCCACCCCUUCCCAGCCUUCAUUUAAUGUGAGGGGAUCUUACCGGAGAUCCUUGUGUGCCUGAGGCCUUCUGAAGGUAAGCAAACUUUCUUCCUUUGUUUAUGCAUCCAUACCUGCUUCAUUUGGGCUUGUUCUCAUUUGCUGCAGCUACAGGCUUUUCUGCCCUGCUGUUAUUGCUACAUUUUCCAUCAUAUUACA